rnacentral:lncRNA from 1 species
CCUUCCCUUCCCUCAGAUCCAUCCUGACAGGGCUGUCAGUUCUUGUCACCGCUCCAAGUUUCUGGAAGUCUCCAGUCUGCUUUCAAUGAGAUCACUGUCAAAGCUUAUCCCUUUUAGCCUCAAAGCACAGCUAAACUUGAGACUGUCAUUUCUAAUGGCUCUCCACAGGUUUGAGGCUAACGUAAGAGGAUUACAGUGUAGAAAGGAAAUCUUAAGGACGGUGCCAGCUAUUCCUGCUCCUGGCAUUACUCAAUCUGACCACCUACAGGCUCUCUCCAUGGUCCCAACAUGGCUGCCAUGUUGCUGGGGCCCACUCCUUCUUUGAGAACCCCCCCAAGCCUCUCCCCACCUUCGCCUCCCAUCCAUAGUGACAGGAUGAGGGAAUGCAUGCCUUCUUAUCAUCAUCACCAUCACCUGGCCAGAAAUGCACUUCACCUACAGGGAAAUAGCUUUCUCUCACAAUUGCUGAAUGCUGAGAGUCUUCGCUGGAAGCAGUUGUGCCAGCAAAAAUCUCAUCAGAUUGUUUAGCCCCUAAGAACAGAGGAAGAACCUACCCUUAAGACUGAGUUAGACCUCCAGAAACAGAGCCCCAUUUAACAAUACCUCAUUUGUCCCUGGCCCAGUGAAUUGAUGAGGCUGUGGGUUGUGCUCCAUACGUGUAGGAGAAGCGAAGGGCCUGGGAACCAGGCACUGGGAAGCUCGCAAUCCAUGCAGGAGGUUCCAAGGAGGCUCCCAGGGGCCAGGUCCCGAGGAUGAGUCACACCACCGAGCCAGACCCAGGAAAACAAGGUAAAAAUUUCCCAAGGGGUUUCUACAAGAUUUCCAGCACUUCCUAAAUUAGCCCUGACCAGUAAAACCACGAGAGAAGACUUCCUGGCAGAGCCUGGCACUUCCAUUUCCAGUCCCAACCGAAAGCAGGAAGCAUUGAGACAAGUAAUAAUUCAACUCUUCAGUUGGCUUCCAAAAUUAUCCACAUUCAGGUCACCUGGCAUUCGCACCAAAGUAUAAGAGGCUUUAUUGACUACAGUGCAAACUAAGCAUGAAGAAGAAACAAUCACUUGAAAACACCAAAGACCCUUACAUAGCAAAAGUUAAGAAAUAAAUUAAGACUCCUGUGGGGCUACGCCUGGGAGGAAGGGCAGGCCUCAUUCACUUCGAUCCUUGGGUUCUCGGUAUUUCCACUGGAUGUAGUCAAAGAUGUCUUUCUCACUAGCCACUGGCAGGGGCUCUCCAGCAACCCCCGUGACUCCCAAGGGACGGAUUGUGUACUCGUUGAUCAUGAAGCCCUUUUCUAGCGCAUGAGCUCUCAUAUUAUUAUUGAAAAUAUAACUCCCGGUGAAAUAGAGAACACCACAGUAAUACUAGUCCUUGGGUAUUAAUCUGAUACCAAUUCUCCUGCGUGGAUACUCCUUUUCAUCAUUUUUACUGGGAAGCUGGCAAACACCCAUGAACUUAGUUUCACCUUUUGACAGUAUCUGUAAUAAAAUGGACCUUACUGCUCCACAACACUAUGCAACAGCUUUGGCUGUUUGGUUGAUUCAGAGGUAAAGCUUGGAUGGGUCAGAAGAACAUCCAUGUCGCCACUGGACGCUGCACCUCUUCUGAAACUGCCACAGACUGUAACAAUGUAUUCAGAAUCCACUUUUUUAACUUCAUUUAGUACAAUAUCUUGCAUUUGUAACAUCUCUUCACGAGGAAUUCUUUUCUCAAAGUCCUCAAAAUAUUUCAGCCCAAUUCGUUGAUGAUGGUUCAAUUUGUCUUCAUUUUUUCUUGAGAUCUUCUAAUGUUUUAAUUCCUUCGUCUACAAACUUCCUCGCAGCAGAUGGACCAAUGCCACUAACUCGAGUCAGGAAAUUGAUGGAUGAACUCAUAUCAUCCUGCCGAGUCUUUUCCAGUCGCUAAAAACUCAUCAAUCUUCUCAGCAAUUUUUGUUCCUACUCCAGGCAAUUUCUUAGCUUCCGCUCCACUCUUUAUUUUGUGUAUUUUGCUAUCACAGAUGCUGCUUUUUGUAAGUAUUGCACUUGCGGAUUGCCUGGUUCACAUUCUUCUCAAAGUUUGCGAGUUCUGUGAGCAUGUCGGUGAUUCCCUCGUUGAGAGUCUCCUGUGGCGCCUUCCGUUUGCUCCUGAUGGCCUGCGCCUGAGGGCCGCGGAGGGCUCAGAGCCAGGGACUGUCCCCCUCCAGCUUUAAGGUGGGGCCGGGACCCGAAGAGGGCGUAGCACCCACCCACCCGGGAAAGCCUGCGCGACGCGCGGAACAAUGGCUGCCUCUGACAGGAGGCGCGGCGCGCGGCACCUGGUGACAUAAUUUGUUAGAAUGUUAUCCUCACUACUAAAUUUCUAAAUCUCUUGGUAAAAUGUAUCUGUAUAACACCAUUUUUGUAAUUGUUAAUUUCUACUGUAUCUCUUUUAUAUCUGAUUUCUCAUUUAUAUGUUUUCUUCUGCGUGUUUCUAUUUUUCCCUUAAUUUAAUUUUUCUGAAAUAGUAAUUUUUUAUUUUCAAAUAAUUAA